GUGCUGACUUAGUCAGCACAUAUAUUAAAAUUGGAACAAUACCAAGAAGAUUAACGUGGUCCCUGCACAAGGAUGACAUGCAAAUUUUUAAAGCAUUCCAUAGAAGC
ensembl:snRNA U6 U6 spliceosomal RNA